rnacentral:lncRNA from 1 species
UCUGCUGUAUAUAUAAUUAUUAUGUGUGUGUGUGUGAUGUCUGUAUAUAUGUGUUGUGUAUAUACUGAUAUGUGUGUAUGUGUAAAGUGCAUAACUGUAUACAUAUAGUGCAUUAGUAUAUUCAUUUCUAUUUACAUUGAUAUAUAUGACGAUAUAUACACUAUUUAUCAGUUUAUACAGUUAUUAGUAUAAAUGUACAUUGAUUUAUAUACUACACACACACUCACACUCAUGCACAAUCAUACUCCCACCCACACUCUCUCUCACACACACUCAUACUCACACUCACACUCAUACUCACACUCAUACAUACACACACACACUCAUACUCACACUAACACUCACACUCACACUAACACUCACUCACACAAUCACACUCACACAGACUGACACACUCACACAUUCACACACACACACACACACUCACACUCGUUGGCACACUCACACUCUCACAUACACUCACACUCACACUCACACACACACUCACACACUCUCACAUACACUCACAGACUCACACUCACACACUCACACUCCCACUCCAAGUCACACUCACACUAACCCUCACCUAGACACUCACAACUCACACUCACAACUCACACUCACACUCACGCAAACACUAACACUGACACUCACAGAUAUGUAUAUUAUACAUGCGUGGUGUGUAUGGACUGAUGUGUGUAUAUUUACGAUAUGUAUAUGCAUAUCUUUUUACGUAUAUGUAUACAGUUGCUUGCUAUUAGUUAUAUGCAAUUAUCGAUGUAUAUAUACACUAAUAUGCGCACGCACAUGUACCCUUACGCGUAGAUAAGUGCAUAUAUAGUGUGUAUGUAUAUACUAAUACAUGCAUUCUAUUUUAUAAAAGGAGGAUCAUGCCUCAGAAGGAAGACACCUCGGGAUUUCCUUCUGAAUGUCAUAGCUAGGGUUUUAGUAUUCUGAGUUAUUGUUGUAAAUUUGAGUGAUUAUAAUUUCUGAGUGAUUGUUGUAAGCCUGAGUACUUACUAGGAGUACUUCAAGUUUGUUUUCUGCCUCUCACCCCUAUUUUGAGCUUUUUUUUUGUUUUCUGCCUCUUACCUCUACUUCGAGCUUUCAUGUAAGUGCCUAUCUCUG